GGGGUCUGAAUACUUUCCGAAUGCACUGUAUGUGUUGUGUUGUUACUUGUUAUUCUUUUACCUGAUGCUUUUGUAGGACUAUAUAUAUAUAUAUAUUUCUCAAAAUUUGCAAUGAAUUUCAAUAGAUUUCAGUUUUGUAUAAAUAAAUUGCUUUAAUAGAAUGACGACGUAAUGACAACAUCAAUAAUAUUUGUACAUUGUUGUUUCUUGUAGAAGAAAGCAGAUACAUCAAAUGUGUAGCUUACAAAGUUUUAGAAACUAUCCAGAAAUGUACAAAAUGGAGAGAGAAAAAAGCUAAACGUGAAAUUAUUUUUUAUAAAAACUACAAAGCAGAGAGGGUCAGUAUAAAAUGACUCCCGUCUAAAUCACCUAUGGAAGAAGAGGCAUGUGGUGAUCAUUCACAUUGCAGAGGGAGCCGAGAGGGACAUUAAACAGGAUACAGAAAAGGGAGAUGCAGAGGGAAAACCUUUGUACAUAAACUAUAGCAUGUGGCAUUUGUUCUAAACAGCUCACAAAUUCUCACUAAGAGUAAAUCUUUAGUUUAAAGCUGGAGAAUUCUUCACAAAAGGAUUUUGCUGACUUUGUACUUGCCGAGUCAUGUAGAUUGUUUUGCUUUGAUAAUUUGGUAGACAAAUGGAAUUAGAAGCAACCAGAGCGUACAAAUGCAAUCCAUAUCAAUAAAAUAAACAAUCCAGUGACUUCAACAAUAGUUUUAUUAUUUAUGAGUAGUAUAAGCGAAAUGUGUGCCAUUAUAUUCUCAUCGAGGAUAUUAGAGCAUGUAGAGUGUUAUUGGCACAUGUACAUUGAGUUGAGGUAAUGUGCUGCUUUCCAGAACUCUAUGCUAAAGUGUUUCCAGGAAUUCUCUUUCCCUCCUUUUUUUGUCCUCUUUCCUCAUCAACUCUGGUUUUGCACAACGCAACACAUAAGGAGUCAAGCUGCAUCCCAGAAGGUGAUACCUAGUCAGUUGCACAACGCAACACAUAAGGAGUCAAGCUGCAUCCCAGAAGGUGAUACCUAGUCAGUUGCACAACGCAACACAUAAGGAGUCAAGCUGCAUCCCAGAAGGUGAUACCUAGUCAGUUGCACAACGCAACACAUAAGGAGUCAAGC
ensembl:lncRNA